UUCUUCCAGGGUUGGCUGAAAAUACCAGCAAGUGCUGUUUUUUUGUGAAAUGUAAAGCAUUCCUCAGAUUGGCCCUGCAGAAGGAUUAGGUCUUUUUGAUGAAGGGAAAAUGUAGGACAUGAUUUGGCAAAGCUUACUUUAUGUCAUAUUUUUAAAGACAACUUAACAAACUUUUCUGGUGUAUUCACAAGGCCUCGUGGCUUUAAACAUCGUGCUUAUCUCAGGACAGCCACCAAGUAUACUGUAAAUAUGCAUAACAAGGAGCUUGUGAUAAAAAAGGAAAACUUACCAGUGACAGAGGUCUGAUCAGUCAUUAUGGCUUUCAGAGGUGGACUUGCUGAUGUGCUUUGGAUCAUUGUCCUGCUGAAUAACCAUUGUGUGACUGAGUCUAAACACACAAACUGAUGGCUGGAAGUUCUUCUUCUGGAUUUCCUGGUCGUGAGCAGAACUCAUGGUUUCAUCAGGCUCUGCACCUGACAAAGCAACUAUUUGUCUCCUGUCAUUCAUUGCAGAAAAGGAUGUGGAGAUGUCGCACUCACAGAAACAUAGGCCACUAAAGAUAACCACAAGGGGAAAAACAUCAACAAUGAAAAAACAUGGUCUAGAAAUAGACCGCUUUGUUGCCAUAGCCACCUGAACUGCUGCAAUUUAGACCUGUUGUGCUUCACUGCACGCUAUUUAAAAAAAGUUUUGGUUCUUCUCUGCAGGUUGAAGUGUUUAAUGAUUCAAACAUUAUUAUUUGAGCUGCUGAAUGUUUACUUAUUUUUGCACAUUGGUGAUGGAAAGAAUCCUUGUUGUGACUCUACAUUUUCACUUAAUUGUGGUGAGCUGCUGCAGUGGAUCCUUAUGACUAUCGUUGUUGCAAGAUCUCAAGUGCUAAGAAGAUUUAGUAGGAAUGUGAAACAAAGGCCUUUACACUGUAGAUAUAAAUAUUCUGAUAUGUUUAUUGUGAUGCAAUAAAAAAGGCUUAUAUCAUUAUCAAAUGUUUUAUGCUUCUGAUGAACACAGUUCUCCAAAAUGUAGUGACAAUAAAAUAUUUAAA